rnacentral:rRNA from 1 species
CAUAGCGAGAAAGAACUAACAGGAUUCCCCUAGUAACGGCGAGUGAAGCGGGAAAAGCUCAAAUUUAAAAUCUGGCGGUCCAAGGCCGUCCGAGUUGUAAUCUAGAGAAGUGUUAUCUGUGCUGGACCAUGUACAAGUCCCUUGGAACAGGGCGUCAUAGAGGGUGAGAAUCCCGUCUAAGACAUGGACUCCCAGUACUAUGUGAUGCACUCUCGACGAGUCGAGUUGUUUGGGAAUGCAGCUCAAAAUGGGUGGUAAAUUCCAUCUAAAGCUAAAUACAGGCAAAAGACCGAUAGCGAACAAGUACCGUGAGGGAAAGAUGAAAAGCACUUUGGAAAGAGAGUUAAACAGUACGUGAAAUUGUUGAAAGGGAAACGCUUGAAGUCAGUCGCGUCUUCAGGGACUCAGCUUGGCUUCUUUGCCAAGUGCACUUCCCUGAACGACGGGCCAGCAUCAGUUUCGGCCGCUGGAAAAAGGCUGGAGGAAGGUGGCACCUUUCGAGGUGUGUUAUAGCCUCCUGCUGUAUACAGCGGCUGGGACUGAGGAUCGCAGCAUGCCUUUAUGGCCGGGGUUCGCCCACGUUACAUGCUUAGGAUGCUGGCGUAAUGGCUUUAAACGACCCGUCUUGAAACACGGACCAAGGAGUCUAACAUGCC